GUUUGAUCCUGGCUCAGGAUGAACGCUGGCGGCGUGCUUAACACAUGCAAGUCGAACGGUGAAGCAGAGCUUGCUCUGUGGAUCAGUGGCGAACGGGUGAGUAACACGUGAGCAACCUGCCCCGGACUCUGGGAUAAGCGCUGGAAACGGCGUCUAAUACUGGAUACGAGCAGCGGAGGCAUCUCCAGCUGCUGGAAAGAUUUUUUGGUCUGGGAUGGGCUCGCGGCCUAUCAGCUUGUUGGUGAGGUAAUGGCUCACCAAGGCGUCGACGGGUAGCCGGCCUGAGAGGGUGACCGGCCACACUGGGACUGAGACACGGCCCAGACUCCUACGGGAGGCAGCAGUGGGGAAUAUUGCACAAUGGGCGGAAGCCUGAUGCAGCAACGCCGCGUGAGGGACGACGGCCUUCGGGUUGUAAACCUCUUUUAGCAAGGAAGAAGCGAAAGUGACGGUACUUGCAGAAAAAGCGCCGGCUAACUACGUGCCAGCAGCCGCGGUAAUACGUAGGGCGCAAGCGUUAUCCGGAAUUAUUGGGCGUAAAGAGCUCGUAGGCGGUUUGUCGCGUCUGCUGUGAAAACCCGAGGCUCAACCUCGGGCCUGCAGUGGGUACGGGCAGACUAGAGUGCGGUAGGGGAGAUUGGAAUUCCUGGUGUAGCGGUGGAAUGCGCAGAUAUCAGGAGGAGCACAUUGGAAUUCCUGGUGUAGCGGUGGAAUGCGCAGAUAUCAGGAGGAACACCGAUGGCGAAGGCAGAUCUCUGGGCCGUAACUGACGCUGAGGAGCGAAAGGGUGGGGAGCAAACAGGCUUAGAUACCCUGGUAGUCCACCCCGUAAACGUUGGGAACUAGUUGUGGGGUCCAUUCCACGGAUUCCGUGACGCAGCUAACGCAUUAAGUUCCCCGCCUGGGGAGUACGGCCGCAAGGCUAAAACUCAAAGGAAUUGACGGAAUC
rnacentral:rRNA from 1 species